ACACACAGCAUGAUUGCUGAAAAAAUUAUUAAUACGUCGGUAUGUGUAAAUCUACAGACAAGGUUUUCUCAGUAAUAUUUUUACUGGGGAACAGCAGCAUUUCACAGGGAAAAACAGCCUAGUGAUGCCCCUGAUUUUUACCAAAAACAAAGCCUUUUAAUGCAUAACCUUGAGUGGCAUAUUGCCUUUAUAAAAUGAUGGCAAUAAUAGUAUGCAACACUGCUCAUCCACUUUUUUGCAGCAACCUUGUUUCCAGAAGUAGUUUCCGUCAUUAAGUUUUCUCAUCAAAAAGUCUUCCUUUAAGCAUGAUAAGUCAUGAACCAGACCAAGCAGUUACAAAGUGAAUCACAACAUUACAAACUUUAAUUUAAAGUGAAAAAUGUAUAAGGUGUAAGUGAACUAGUGGUUUUCUCAGAUCCUAAAAUCUGUACCUGACCUGAUUCCCUUUUACUCAAAUCUGAUGUACAUAAAUUAAUUUUUAAAAAGAAAUACUUGACUUGAGACAGACAUGACAAAAUUAGACUCAAGUCUGAUCUGACAUGAUUUCAAUUUCUUCAAACUCAACUGAAGAAGAAGAGAGGCAAUAAUAUUGUCAUACUGCUGUGUGUAAUUAAAUACUGAUAUGAAUAAUGGAAAGUUGACACUGGUCGGAACUCAAGUGUUUGGAUUCAAGUGGAUCCGGGAAGACCAUCUUUAAUGGAGCAGAGAACGAAAAUCCAAGGAUGCUUCAAUUAAAGCAUGUCUUUUCAAUUAGUAACCUCGUAGUACAUUUUUAAAAACUAAGGUUACAAAAGCAAGUUUUUGCAGUGAUGCCAUAGAAGAACCACUUUCCACUAGUGGGAAAAUUUUCCACUAUAAGCAGCCUUUGUGAAAUGGAAAGGUUACAUGGAUAUUAAAGAAUAUUCAUGGAACCAUAGAUUCCAAUAAAGUACCUUUAGUUUUAAGAGUGUACAGUAUGUACUUAACAGUUUGUAAGUUACUGUUAAAAAUUCUCCUAUGAAGAAAAUAAAUGGAAUUUUUACUCGAAUGCCAAAACCAAAUGUCACAUCAAAUCAAAUGACUUUUAUUUUCAUUUAACCACAUACACAAAUGCACUCACUCAGUCUCCUCACUGUCUCAUGCCAAUUUUGUAGGAUACUUAUAUUGUAGGAACUUGACAAAUUAAUAUAAUGUUUGUUGUCACAAGUGUGCAUUUAUUUAUAACAUUUUAUAUCUGCUGCACUAGGUUUGUGCCUAAGCAGACACCUUACCUGUGGUAAAAUUACUAUAAUGCACAGCCUUGAGCAGAUUAUUAUUUCAGUUCAGUUUAUAAGAUGUUAAUAAUCUUUGACGGGUAAUCUGUUGCCAUAAAAGACACUUAGACUUGGUGCAUUAGAAUCAAACUUCCUGUGUGAAAUCAUUCAGACCACUUGUGCUUGACUAUUGGUUUUGUGCGACAGCUCUGAUAGCAUCUGACAGCUCACUUUUACACCACUAGCUGACUGAAUGCAUGUUGGGUUUUUCAGCUAUAUGAGAAAUUUACAUGCACAUACUGUAUAGAAUGAUUCAUAAUUUGUCUGUUUGGAAACAGGUCAUAUCAUACAGUGUAAUGGUUUCUCAUCUUGUGGGUGUUGGCACAUGCAAGCCCUACAUCUUUGGCUUUAAAAUAGUAUGUACAUUUGUUCAUGUGUUGUCGAGAGCUCGAGCUGCUGUCCGCAUUUAGUCAUAUGAGUGAACCACAGAUAGCAAAGGCACAGCGCAUACGUGAGCCACCUCUUUAAAAUACCCACAGCACACAUCCGCCACCACUCACAGGAGCCUUGCAUUCAGCACAUGCGGUUCUGGUAAUGAAUUGUAGGAGGCUGUUUUUGUUGUUGAAGAUGUUUAUUUGGGUUGUAGAUGAGUACUUUCUGCUAGCACAGUAUGGCUACUUACAAGCCCUGUAGCCUAUGUAGACAUGGUCAAGUUCAAAUCGAGCAUCAGAAAGGUGACUUUGAACAUGGCAAGGUUGUAGGUGCCAGACAGUAUUUCUGAUCAACUGGUAUUUUCACUCACAACCAUCUCUAGGGUUAACAGAGGAUGGUCUGAAAAAGAGAAAAUAUCCAGUGAGUGGCAGUCCUGUGGGUAUAAAUGCCUUGUUGAUACUAGAGGUAUAGAGGGAAUGACCAAACUGGUUUGAGUUGAUAGAAAGACAACAGUAAAUCAUAUAACUACUUGUUACAACCGAUGUUUGCAGAUGAGCAUCUCUAUACUUACCAACUUCAAGCAGAUGGGCUACAGCAGCAGAAGACCACUGGGUACUAUUCUUAUCAUCUAGACACUGGAAAAUGAGGAUAUUAUCGCAUGGGCUCACCAAAAUAUACAGUAGAUGAUUGGAAAAAGGUUGCCUGGUCAAAUGAGUCUCGAUUUCUGCUGUGGCAUUCGGAUGGUAGGGUCAAAUUUUGGUGUAAACAACAUGAAAGGAUGGAUCCAUCAACGGUUCAAGCUGCUGCUGCUGUCAUGAUGUGGGGGAUGUAUUCUUGGCACACUUUUGGCCCCUUAGUACCAAUUGAGCAUUGUUUUAACAAAAACUUUAACUGCAUAGGCCCAAACUAUGUGCAAAAUUAUUAAUAUAAGCUAAUUCUAAAACUGAUCAUUUUGAUCUUCCCCUAAUAAUGUAUAGCACAAAAACAUUGUAGUGUUACAAUACAGUACUGUAUGUAAUUUCUUUGACCCUUUUUGGUAACUAAAGCAUAUAACACAUGUUAUGGCAUCUGUUUAAUUUGGCUGCUUUACCAGAUUAAUUUUGUGUUAAAUGUUUGAUUGGAAACAGUCUUUGAUAUCAACAACAAAAGAUACGGGGAACCUUUUUCUUCACUGUUAAAUUUGACAAGCCAUUUUAUUUUUGCUAUUCUAUUCUGUGCACAUACGAUUUGCAUUAGGUAUCAUUUUCCCUGCUGUUUUUCUCCUCAGAACAGACCUGUGUUCCACCACUUGAGACCUACUUUGAUAGAUUACCUCAGACAAAGUUCCCUUUUCCUGUUUCUCUUUCUCAUUUCUUUUCUACAUGAGCUCUGUCUUUUGUUACUCAAGCAGCGCGCUGACGUAUUUCCUCCUCCGUGAUGCAACUUGAACGUGCAUCUGUGCGUCUGUGCAUUGUAGAGAUAAGAGGAAGAAAAGGAGGAAGAGAGAGAGGGAAACCGCAUGUGUGCAGCACAUGAAAAAUCCAACUGAAAGAGGUUGAAAAGGAGAAAUUAAUCAGACAUUACACAACACUUCCUGAGAAUAAGGAGAGAAAGACGUUUCCCUCUGUGCAGGAAUGAAAGACCGGAAAUUCCGCGGUGAACAUAACGGACCGAUAUGUUAGCAAUCGUGUCCCUAAAUCCAAAAAACAACUUUAUUCCACUGCCGUUUAACACAUGUGGCAGAGCAAUCCAGCUCCAGGUCAUGCACCAAAACACAAGAGGACAGGUUACAUCACAGCCCUGUCCUCAUGCCUCACUGACUCAAAUUGCUGUUUGGUGAAUUUAAAGCAGCCACUUGAUCACAACUGUUGCUUCUAUUGGACUGAGGUGGGUCUUAACUAGCUUAAUUAAGGAGGUUAUGUCAAGAGCUCAGAAUGAAAGGCCUUAAGAGCGUGGCUUGUCCUCUGUCCCAUUGAAGAUAGUGGAUCUCUUCCAAAACCUAGUGAUCUGCCUAGGUAGGUAGUAUUUUAAGAAAUAAGCCCGCUCCUGACAUGAAGACUGCUCUAACAGGCAGUUCACUUUAAGGCUGGGUGGCAUGUACCAGAUGACUGUAGAAAUGUGUUGUCUGGUACAAAUUUUUGAUGCUGUUUUUAUAUAUUUUGAAAUACUGUUAUGAUAUAAAAUUAUUCAUAUGCUGAUAAAGUACGUUUUUUUGAACUGCCUACCAAAUUAAAAGACAGCGCUGCAUGAAUACUUCACAGAUGAGACAAUCCCAAAAUGCAUUGCAGCAGGUGCAGUAAAUUCAAGAUGGCAGACAAAACGACAUCAAGGCUGCGUUCUGAUUAACAGGGUUCUUGCAGUAUUCAUUGCUCCCUAAGCACAGGAUGUCUGUUGAAGUUCACUUCACUUGAAAAAAGGCGUUCAUUCAGAAAACCCAUGACAACUAAGUUGCGAAUAUUAGAGAAUUUGAGGAAAAAUUACAUAAUAUACUUCUGUAAAUAAAUGUAAUAUAAAUGACCAUAUACAGUAUUUUGAUUUCAUGUACAUGUGUAUAUAACACAUACAUGUUUAUUAAUAUACAUUGGCAUAUUUGAAAGCGAUAACUAAGUGGUACGUUUCUGUUGCAAAUAAAUGCAAUUUGGUUACA